rnacentral:rRNA from 1 species
UAGGGAAUCUUCCACAAUGGACGCAAGUCUGAUGGAGCAACGCCGCGUGAGUGAAGAAGGUCUUCGGAUCGUAAAGCUCUGUUGUUGGUGAAGAAGGAUAGAGGCAGUAACUGGUCUUUAUUUGACGGUAAUCAACCAGAAAGUCACGGCUAACUACGUGCCAGCAGCCGCGGUAAUACGUAGGUGGCAAGCGUUGUCCGGAUUAUUGGGCGUAAAGCGAGC